AUUGUGGGUGAUGUGACGUCAUGGUCCCGUGACUCCUCAUAUGCAUUACGCCAUCUUGAAACUCCCAUCUGAAAUUCAUCUCGUUUUCCUGUGAUUUGUACACAUUGGUGUCUUUCCGUCAACCGAAAUAGUUGAAUAAUUACAGUGAAUAUUUAAAGAAUGUCUUCUAGAAAGAAGGUAUUAUUGAAAGUUAUUAUACUUGGAGACAGUGGUGUUGGAAAAACAUCUCUUAUGAACCAAUAUGUAAACAAAAAAUUUAGCAACCAGUACAAGGCUACUAUUGGAGCUGAUUUCCUCACAAAAGAAGUCAUGGUAGAUGACAGGCUUGUCACAAUGCAGGUA